rnacentral:tRNA from 1 species
GCUGCCGCUGCAGGGCGGAACGGUCGCCGAUGCGCUCGGCGUCCGGCGGACCCUCGACGCGCUCCGUUCCAUCGAGGGCGGCAGUA